AUUGAACGCUGGCGGCAGGCCUAACACAUGCAAGUCGAGCGGAUGAAGGGAGCUUGCCUCUGGAUUCGGGGGCGGACGGGUGAGUAAUGCCUAGGAAUCUGCCUGGUAGUGGGGGAUAACGUCCGGAAACGGGCGCUCAUACCGCAUACGUCCUGAGGGAGAAAGUGGGGGAUCUUCGGACCUCUCGCUAUCAGAUGAGCCUAGGUCGGGUUAUCUAGUUGGUGGGGUAAAGGCCUACCAAGGCGACGAUCCGUGACUGGUCUGAGAGGAUGAUCAGUCCCACUGGAACUGAGACACGGUCCAGACUCCUACGGGAGGCAGCAGUGGGGAAUAUUGGACAAUGGGCGAAAGCCUGAUCCAGCCAUGCCGCGUGUGUGAAGAAGGUCUUCGGAUUGUAAAGCACUUUAAGUUGGGAGGAAGGGCAGUAAGUUAAUACCUUGCUGUUUUGACGGUACCAACAGAAUAAGCACCGGCUAACUUCGUG
rnacentral:rRNA from 1 species